GAUGAACGCUGGCGGCGUGCCUAAUACAUGCAAGUCGAGCGAAUGGAUUGAGAGCUUGCUCUUAUGAGGUUAGCGGCGGACGGGUGAGUAACACGUGGGUAACCUGCCCAUAAGACUGGGAUAACUCCGGGAAACCGGGGCUAAUACCGGAUAACAUUUUGAACCGCAUGGUUCGAAAUUGAAAGGCGGCUUCGGCUGUCACUUAUGGAUGGACCCGCGUCGCAUUAGCUAGUUGGUGAGGUAACGGCUCACCAAGGCAACGAUGCGUAGCCGACCUGAGAGGGUGAUCGGCCACACUGGGACUGAGACACGGCCCAGACUCCUACGGGAGGCAGCAGUAGGGAAUCUUCCGCAAUGGACGAAAGUAUGACGGAGCAACGCCGCGUGGGUGAUGAAGGCUUUCGGGUCGUAAAACUCUGUUGUUAGGGAAGAACAAGUGCUAGUUGAAUAAGCUGGCACCUUGACGGUACCUAACCAGAAAGCCACGGCUAACUACGUGCCAGCAGCCGCAGUAA
rnacentral:rRNA from 1 species